rnacentral:lncRNA from 1 species
CAUCCCCCUUUUCUAGUCUCAAGAUGCUGUGUAGCAGGCAGAUCAGCUCAUGCUUUUUGUGCUUUGUGUUCCUGAAACAGGAUCUGGACCAGGUUCGGCUCCAUCUAGAAGAAGUGAGGUUCUUUGAUGUGUUUGGCUUCAGCAAAACAGCAGGAGCAUGGCAAUGCUCCAUGUGCAACAACCCUGAAAAAGCAACCGAUGGACUACUACUGCCUUAUGACUGUGCAACUGCUGUUGAUAAAGAUUUGCUAAAACCCCAGCCCAGGUAGACAGUACUAAGACUGCCCCUGCUCUCAGAGAUUGUGACACGGAGGAAGAUGAGGUUUCAUAAACGUCUUUGCUGCAAAGUGUGGAGGUGGGACCAUGGAACAACCACGAAAUUUAUGGAAAAUUUGAACUUGCAGAGAGCACUACUAGUUCUAAAAAUGCUCUAACCUAGAGGGUUCCUAGUAAAACAAGGAGAACAGUGAAAUCAUUUUCUUGAUAUUGAUUACCAGUUAGAACAUCCUGAGCUCCUGCUUCCUCUGCCCUCUCCUCUGAACAGUAUUACCAACCACAGAGCUUCUUAGAAGAGGAGAGCCACUUCGUGUCACGGAGAUCUCAAAUCAAAUGUCACCUCAAAAAAAAGGACACAUUUCAAAGAAGAUUUCCAAAUUCUUUCCUAAAAUUUUAAAUGCAUGUGUACCCACCAACUCGCUUAUUCCCUUUUUUAUUUUCAUCAUAGC